rnacentral:rRNA from 1 species
CCUACGGGUGGCAGCAGUGAGGAAUAUUGGUCAAUGGACGAGAGUCUGAACCAGCCAAGUAGCGUGAAGGAUGACUGCCCUAUGGGUUGUAAACUUCUUUUAUAUGGGAAUAAAAUGUUCCACGUGUGGGAUUUUGUAUGUACCAUAUGAAUAAGGAUCGGCUAACUCCGUGCCAGCAGCCGCGGUAAUACGGAGGAUCCGAGCGUUAUCCGGAUUUAUUGGGUUUAAAGGGAGCGUAGGUGGAUUGUUAAGUCAGUUGUGAAAGUUUGCGGCUCAACCGUAAAAUUGCAGUUGAAACUGGCAGUCUUGAGUACAGCAGAGGUGGGCGGAAUUCGGGGUGUAGCGGUGAAAUGCUUAGAUAUCACGAAGAACUCCGAUUGCGAAGGCAGUUCACUGGACUGCAACUGACACUGAGGCUCGAAAGUGUGGGUAUCAAACAGGAUUAGAUACCCGAGUAGUC